rnacentral:rRNA from 1 species
ACAUGCAGUCGUAACAAUGGNUAUCNCGAGCUUGCUCCUCNGGAUUAGUGGCGAACGGGUGAGUAAUACGUGAGCAAUGUGCCCUUGACUCUGGGAUAAGCGCUGGAAACGGCGUCUAAUACCGGAUACGACCCUCGGAGGCAUCUCCUGAUGGUGGAAAGAACUUCGGUCAAGGAUCAGCUCACGGCCUAUCAGCUAGUUGGUGAGGUAACGGCUCACCAAGGCGACGACGGGUAGCCGGCCUGAGAGGGUGACCGGCCACACUGGGACUGAGACACGGCCCAGACUCCUACGGGAGGCAGCAGUGGGGAAUAUUGCACAAUGGGCGCAAGCCUGAUGCAGCAACGCCGCGUGAGGGACGAAGGCCUUCGGGUUGUAAACCUCUUUUAGCAGGGAAGAAGCGAAAGUGACGGUACCUGCAGAAAAAGCACCGGCUAACUACGUGCCAGCAGCCGCGGUAAUACGUAGGGUGCAAGCGUUGUCCGGAAUUAUUGGGCGUAAAGAGCUCGUAGGCGGUUUGUCGCGUCUGCUGUGAAAACCCGAGGCUCAACCUCGGGCUUGCAGUGGGUACGGGCAGACUAGAGUGCGGUAGGGGAGAUUGGAAUUCCUGGUGUAGCGGUGGAAUGCGCAGAUAUCAGGAGGAACACCGAUGGCGAAGGCAGAUCUCUGGGCCGUAACUGACGCUGAGGAGCGAAAGCAUGGGGAGCAAACAGGCUUAGAUA